rnacentral:rRNA from 1 species
GACGAACGCUGGCGGCGCGCCUAACACAUGCAAGUCGAACGAGCGAGAGAGAGCUUGCUUUCUCGAGCGAGUGGCGAACGGGUGAGUAACGCGUGAGGAACCUGCCUCAAAGAGGGGGACAACAGUUGGAAACGACUGCUAAUACCGCAUAAGCCCACGGUGCCGCAUGGCACAGAGGGAAAAGGAGCAAUCCGCUUUGAGAUGGCCUCGCGUCCGAUUAGCUAGUUGGUGAGGUAAUGGCCCACCAAGGCGACGAUCGGUAGCCGGACUGAGAGGUUGAACGGCCACAUUGGGACUGAGACACGGCCCAGACUCCUACGGGAGGCAGCGGUAGGGAAUAUUGCACAAUGGAGGAAACCCUGAUGCAGCGACGCGGCGUGGAGGAAGAAGGUCUUCGGAUUGUAAACUCCUGUUGUUGGGGAAGAUAAUGACGGUACCCAACAAGGAAGUGACGGCUAACUACGUG